UACGUAGGCAGCGAGCGUUGUUCGGAGUUACUGGGCGUAAAGGGUGUGUAGGCGGUCCUCUAAGUUUGGUGUGAAAUCUCCCCGGCUUAACCGGGAGGGUGCGCCGAAAACUGGAGGGCUAGAGUGCGGGAUGGGAGAGUAGAAUUCCUGGUGUAGCGGUGAAAUGCGUAGAUAUCAGGAGGAAUACCGGUGGUGUAGACGGCUCUCUGGACCGCGACUGACGCUGAGACACGAAAGCGUGGGUAGCAAACAGG
rnacentral:rRNA from 1 species